rnacentral:rRNA from 1 species
UACGUAGGUGGCAAGCGUUGUUCGGAAUUACUGGGCGUAAAGGGCUCGUAGGCGGCCAACUAAGUCAGACGUGAAAUCCCUCGGCUUAACCGGGGAACUGCGUCUGAUACUGGAUGGCUUGAAUCCGGGAGAGGGAUGCGGAAUUCCAGGUGUAGCGGUGAAAUGCGUAGAUAUCUGGAGGAACACCGGUGGCGAAGGCGACAUCCUGGACCGGUAUUGACGCUGAGUGAGCGAAAGCCAGGGGAGCAAACGGG